CUCUCAAGAAUCCUCCGAAUGUUCUUGCGCCAGAAGAUUGCCAGCUCUCUCUGUCUCUCUCUCUCUCGCUCUUUCUCUCUCUCUCUCUGUGCGAAACCAAAAAAUUGCAUUUUUAUAUUCAGAGGAGGAGAGAGUGGAAUAACCAAGAAAGAUAAAAGGAACAUCAUCACAGAGAGAGAGAGAGAGAGAGAGAGAGAGAGAGAGAGAGGGAUAGAAAGAGAAAAUGAGCUCUUCCUCUGUUUUCAUUACUGGGUGUUAUCUUGUUUAGAUCUUAGUUUCUUGCCCAAUUGGUCAUCUGGGUCCACACACAAUGGAGGAAUCUUCUAUUGUCUUGUCUUUGUGGAUGAAGAUCUGAUGCCCCAGCACUGAAUUCAAGGUCCGUCCAUCCGCUGCCCACCCCCAACUGGAGCAACCAAUCUGAUUCUGUCUGAAAACUUUCAGAAUUUAUCAGAAAAGAUGGAGUCAGAUCUUGGGAAGCUCUUCAUUGGAGGGAUUUCAUGGGACACGGAUGAAGAACGCCUUAAAGAAUACUUCGGGAGUUACGGUGAGGUGGUGGAGGCUAUGAUCAUGAGAGAUCGUGCAACCGGCCGAGCUCGCGGAUUCGGUUUCGUCGUCUUUGCGGAUCCCGCUGUUGCUGAAAGGGUGACCAGGGAUAAGCACUUGAUUGACGGUCGCUCGGUUGAAGCAAAGAAAGCUGUUCCUAGGGAGGAUCAGCAACUUCUUAAUAGGAGUUCAGCCAGCAUGAAUGGAUCUCCAAGUCCUGGACGUACCAAAAAAAUCUUUGUAGGUGGUUUACCAUCUACAAUCACAGAGAGCGACUUCAAGAAGUACUUUGAUCAGUUCGGUAAUAUUAUUGAUGUUGUAGUCAUGUACGACCACAAUACCCAAAGACCCAGAGGUUUUGGUUUCAUCACUUAUGAUUCAGAGGAUGCAGUGGACCGGGUUCUGUACCGCACCUUCCACGAUUUAAAUGGGAAAAUGGUUGAGGUCAAGAGGGCAGUUCCCAAAGAGCUCUCUCCGGGGCCCACCCGGAGCCCUCUCAUGGGAUAUAACUAUGGCGUGAACAGGGUCAAUGACCUACUCAAUGGCUAUGCUCAAGGGUAUUCUUUGAAUAGGUUCAAUCCUAUUGUCACAGCUCGAGGAGGGUUUCCUCCAUUUGGUGCUUCAGGUCAUGGAAUCAACAUGAAUCUGGACCCUGUUUUAAACCCGAAUUUAGGCAGUGGUUCCAACCUUGGCAAUGGCUCUGGAUAUGGGCGGACAUUUAGGCCAUACUACAUUGGCAAUGUAAGCAGGUUUGAUAAUCCCCUAGGCAAUAACACAGAUGGUCAAAUAAGUGGUUCUGUUUUAAGUCCCAGAAGUCGUGCUGUAUGGGGAAAUAGCGGCCUAAAUAGUGCAUUUAAUCCAAUAAAUUUGGGUACUCCCUUGGGCCGUGGAAGCGGAAGCUAUGGAGUUUCAUUUGGGCAGGCAGGAGCCGACUGGGACCCCUCUUGUUUUUCAGCUCAAGGCCGGAAUUUCAGUCAUGGGAAUGGAAAUGACAGUUAUGGACUGGAAGGAGAAGAAAACGUAAGAAGCAACGGCAACAGUAGGGCCUCAGCGUCAUCAUUCGCUGCCUCGACUGGCAGUUUCGAGGAGAGCUAUAGAGACAUGUAUUAUAGCGGCUCAACUUGGAGAUCUGCCAAUCCUGAGCUAGAUGGUUCUGGGUCCUUUGGUUUUGGUAUUACCAAUCUGGCUUCAGAUGUUACAGCUAAAGGUUCGGAAGGUUAUGGAAGUUACAGCAACACUAGUAGACAGCCGAAUAGAGAACUAUCCCCUCUUCUCUAACCCCACGAGAUCGUUUUGCAUGACUGGCAAGUGUACAAUUGAAGAGUGGCCUGACCGUGUUUUCAUAUAAAAUCACAGUAAUAAUCUGGAACAUCUGCUAAGGAAUUGCUGCUUAGGAGACUCUUUUUUUGCAAAUUCACAGGGUAGUCUUAGGCGAAGAUAAGGUCAAAGGUUGCAUUUCAUCCUCCAGUAUGUUCAUAUCUCAGCUUACAAGGAUGUCGAACUUAUAGUCGAGGGGAGUACAAAAUAUCAAGCUUAUAUGUCCAGAGAGAGUAUUAUAAGGGAUUUUUUUGGAGGUCUAAUAACUGAUUUUUGCCCCUACAUUAGACCUCAAAUCCCUUCAACAGCAACUCAUUGAAGUUAAAUCAAAUUGCAGAACUUAUACUCAAGAAGAUUGGUUCGGAUUAAAAAUCGGUGCAUCUCUUGGGAGACAAACCUGUUAUAGAGGAUAAAAAUACCAUGUUGGAUCUUUGUUUUGCUUUCUUUUUUUGGCAAUAUUACUGUGAUCCCAGGCAAUUAGCUGCUAAUUGCCUGCUCUAAUUUGUUUUCCCUGUGAUAGAUUGUAUGUGAGGUCUGGUUUGAUUUUCUAGUGUGGACCAAUGAGGGGUGCCCCUAAAAUCCCCAUUAAAUAAGCUACUCGAUACUCAAUUCGGUUAUCAAACUGUCCAUUAAUGAAAAAAAGUACACUUAGAUUGGUUUUCCAA